UAUGAGCGCUUGCGUCUAUCUCCACUACUAUUAAACAAUCCAACAAGAUUUUUCCUAAGUUCACCCCAUAAUUACCCUCAGUGCAUUUCAGAAAAUGUACAUGGACCCAUUACCACUGCAUGAUUAGACCUACUAACUUAAUCUAACCGCCAGCGUUAAUCUAAUCCAUACUCUGUGUGCACUUAGCAAAUUACAUUGACUGGCCGUACUCCACCUUUAAAGAAAAUUACCCACCAUGCCACCCAUAAGUGAAAAGUAACGAUUUGACAGUAAGGCGUUUUUUUUUCGUACCUGCAUCGGGCCUCCGCCUCUGCCGCGUCGCUGCGCUGUUAGGCCUGCUCCGUCCCUCACAUCCUUCCCGCUUCCAUAGCCCCCGAACCCUAGCCGGUUGCGCCUCCGCAGAAGAGGAAUCGGUGGUGGAGAGGAUUGGUCGAACACCGGAAGUCCAAGACCUGCGACUGAUUUUGCGGCGCAUCAGCACCAGGCGAUGGUGGGUAUCCUGUACGUGCCGGUGGAUCUACAUAAUGUGUCGGCGCAGGGCUGACACUGCAGCCAGGUGACGUCGCUACCGCCGCCGAGCACCAUGUAGAGCUGCCGCGCGAGCCGGCCCACUCCGACACGCGAGAAGUACUCACCGCUCCCUGCCCGACGGCGGACACCACGGCCCCUGUGUCUCUGUUGCCAACGCCUCGAAGACCGGCGUGGUCUUGGCCGGCUUCAGAUCGGGGGCCCGGGGAGUCGCUGUGUAGGCGGGCGAGCACGUGGGACCUGUAUCUCUGGUGCCGGCCCUGCUCCUCCGGGAGGAAGUCCCUGGAGUCGAGCCGCAGGGUGAGCCCGCUCUGGUGAAGGAGUGGGUCGAGGAGAACGACCUGCGCUGUUCUUCAAUCGCGUUCUGGUGAAGGAGUCAAUCGCUGGUGAACGACAUGCUUAAUCUUGAACAUCCGAUUGCUUUCAACAUGAUCAACCUCUGCCCUUUUAUUCGUGGAAGAAGCAGCCCGUGAGGACGACCUGUUCUCCUUUUCAAUCUGGUGCGUAAGUCUGAAGUUUCUCUUUCUCAUGCCAUGUUCCCAUGAAUAGCUCCCUAGAACUGACAGAAUUCUGAUCACAAGACUGCUUUCAACUUGAUCAAGCUUUCCCUUUUAUAAGAAGAAGAAUCAGCCGGGGUUGUAUUUUGUCUACUGAGAUGGAAGAAGAGGCUAACACAUCGUACCAUGCCAACAUGAGGUACCAAGCUUUCCCUUUCACUUUUACUUUUCUCUCAUCCUGAAAUAUGGCACUUGCAUAAGUUUUUUUUGCUGAUGAUCACUUUACAAUUGCAUAGCUAUAUUUUCCGUUUUGGUACCUCAUGUUUGCAUGGAUUUUAAAAAUUCGGAUGAAGCUUGGGCAUUUUGGUUUAGCUGUGGUGAUCAAAAGGGCUUUGAGGUCCGAAAAAGGUAUAUGAACAAUAGAUCCGCCGAUGCCAAGGUAACGCCAGGUCGAUUUGUUUGUGCAAGGAAAUGGAAUGCUUAAUCUCUUUUUCCAAAGUAAAUUCAAUUGUCAGGUCUGAAAAUGUACAAGUAGCAAGGGCUACAUAGGCUAAUUCAGUUAACAAGUAUGAACACUAAAUUCAGUUAUCAACUAAUCGGCCCGCAACGGUGCGACAACGACGGUGUGCGCAGCCGACCUGAAGCCAUGCAGAUGGGUGUGCAGGUCGUCGAUGUGGGGUUGCUGCGCGCGUAUGCCGAGGUGUUCAUCACGGGCGACGACUCGAGGGGGGCGACGAACAGGACGCCCUUGGACCGGCAUGGCGGGGAGGCCAUGUAGCACGUGUUGCUCUGAUUGCCCUGUAUCCUGGACGCCGCCGACCACAGGGGCUCCAGCUGCACGUGUUUCCCGGCCGCCUCCAACCAGAGGGGGCUCUUGCGACGUGUUGCUUUGUUUCCCGGCCACUGCGGACAGCGAGGGCUCCCUUUGCACGUGUUGCUUUGUAUCCCGGCCACCGUUGACCACUCGGGCUCCGGCUUCACGUGUUGCUCUGCGUCCACUGCUUCUUUGGCGAGCUAAUGGCGACGACGAGGACGCGCCCUGAGCUCGUUCUACCGCGAUGAAGAACCAUUUUUUUUAGAGGUAGAAUGGGAAUUCUAGGGGAACGAGGAGAUUAUUGAAAUCAGGAGGUCAUCAUGGUAUGGAUAUUUUUAUUGUUUUUAUCUGUUUCAUACUACUAUUGGAUUUUGUUGUUUCUCACUAAGAGCUAUUUGACUUAUAUAAUCCCAAUGUUCUGUUGUUAUUUUCCAAACUAUUAAAAACUGGGUGUGUGCUUUAUUGUGAGCGUUCACGAGAGAAGCUUACUACUAUUUGGAAUAACAGGUUGCAAAUACCUUCGUUGCUCUGGACCUUGUCAUGGAAGGAUUAACACUAAAUGACCAUAAAUGAACUACAUUGGCUAGGACCUUCAGAUUAUGAGGGCGAGGAUGUCUUAUUGAUGCAACUUGAUGUUAUGCAGUUUAAGAGGUCAUGGCUGCGAGUAUGACAAACAAUUAUAUCUGCGUUACAUGAUGAGUAUCUACAUAUUACCAUGGUUUCCCGCGAGGUAUUGGUGAUGGCGUUGGUUGCCAAGAUGCACUACCGGAGGGGGGCGGCAUAAUGCAAAUAUACUUGGUCACAAUUUAAUUUUCUUCAUGGACUGAUUUUGUAUCAAUUAGUUAACGAUAUUUGGUACUUGUUAUGCAAUGGACUUGGGAAUGUAUUCAUAAAGCAUGAUAUUUUCCAGUCAUUUUAAGGACUUAGAAAUUAUAUGCUAUCUGCAUGAGAUUUCAGCUUCACAGAAAGUAGGUUUACAUUGUUAAUAGAAUUACUAUGUUUCAUAAUGAAAUAUAUUUUAGUCGAGACGUGCGUUGCACGUGCAUACUUACUAGUACUAUGUUAAAAAGGAACAAAUAUCUCACUCUUAAAAAAAGAAAAGAAUUCCCACAAAAAAAGAGAAAAGAACAAAUCAAUCAA